GCUAUUUAUUAUUAAAGAUUUGAGAGGAUGGAGAAGAGAGUAAUGAGGAAAAAAUAAGGGAGAAAAAGAGUGGGAGGAGAUUGUAGAAGAGUGAAGUGGAAAUGUAAAGAGAAUAAAAAGAAGAUAAGUGAAGAAAAUUAUAAAUAAUGGAGAGGAAAAAGUUAAGAGAGUAAGAAGGGUGACACAAGCAAUCCUGAAGGAAAUACCUUGUUCUGAGAAAUACACAGAUUUGGUGCGAGGUUUUGUAUUUUGUUUUGGUUUGGUAUUGAAUGUGCCCUGUUUUCAUUCUUUUUUUUUUAACGUAGCCUAUUAAUUUACCAAUAUCGUUUGCACCUGUGUCUUGUUUACCCCCAUGUAUGAGUUCUAUGUUUGUCAGUCAUUGUGAGGUAUUGUUUGCGUUUGCAACUCUACUGAGCCUUCUUUUCCUGAGCGUUCUGGUGUCUGAGGUAAGUAUUGAAAAAAGUAUGUUUAGUAUCCUGACCUUCGCCUGCCUACCUGGAUUUCCCCAUUUGUACUUCAGGCUCCUACCUACGUGCUUCACCAGUUACCGACCAUUUGCCUGACCUUUGACUUUACUACAGCCUGUCCCUUUUGCUUUGACGUUUUCCCCCUAAUAAAGGGUCCUGUGCUCUGUGCUUGGAUCCAUUCCUCCAUCCAACCAGUUUGUGUGCAUUCAUUACAUUUGGUUAGUAUAUGUAUAUUAUGUUGUUACCAAUCUCAUUGUCUUUUUUCUUUAUUUUGUUAAGUAUUAUCUGUAGUGUUACUAUAACAUAGUUGUUUUCUAUGUUUAACUCAGUGUGCCUGUUAGACUAAAUACAUUACUGGAAUUGCCCCCCUUUUGUAUUUCACAGGUAAUGACAUUAGACGUUUAAAUGGCAUUUCUGUCAAACUGGAAAUGUCCUCAGUUUUCAUUUGAGAAAUCAUCAACCAUGGCAUCCAUGACAGAGACAAUGAAAGAUGCACAGAUUCUUGGAAUAUUGAACACUUGAAUGUGAUCUGUAGUGAAAGAUUAUUGUUGAUGUUAGCUAGCUAGGUAACGUUAGCUUCCCUGGAAACAUUUCCUGGUUUUUAUCAUAUUUGAUUGCUUGUUCUGUUUGAUUCCUAGAUGUUUUCAAAUUGAUAUGAAUCAUCUUUGUAUGAUUCAACAUUGUCAACAGGUGGAGCCAGAGUCUAACACUUUAAAUCGAUUCUGAAUCCUCAAGAUAUGACACGAUACUACCAAGAAGUAAAUAAUCAGUUGAUGUUGAGCAGCUGGUGGUCAUGCUACACAUACUGUCAUCUACAAUGUUGUUCUGUUCACUUUUACUCUAUUUUGAGUUCAUAGGUCUCAGUUCAGAACAGGUAAUUUCACCCUACACUGAUGUACAACUGGCUACAGAAAAGGACAGUGUUAAACUUUCUUGCAACUACACCUCUGGAAGAAAUCUUCAAUGGUAUCGACAAUAUCCUAAAUCAUCACCAGAUUUAUUGGUUAUGGAACAUAUGCCUGCAACAACAUCAGGGAUCUCCAUAGAACAUGAUAAAAAUGCCAAACGUGUGGAUCUGAUGAUCUCCUCUGUUGAAGUGACAGACUCUGCUCUGUACUACUGUGCUUUGGAGCCCACAGUGACAGGAAACCCAGACACACUGUACAAAAACCUGUCAACAUACAUAUCAUGUCAGUUUCAAGAGGGGGUGUACAAUCAAGUUCCAAGUUAAGCCUAGGCAAUGUAAAUCUAUAAAAAGGAUUUAAUUUAUUGUGAACAGAUUACAUAUAUGUAAAUGGUAGAUUUGUCUUGAACCAAUUGCUUAUUUGAGUUACAGAACAGCAUUAUUUCAGGUACCUUGGAC
ensembl:lncRNA